rnacentral:rRNA from 1 species
UACGGGGGGGGGCAAGCGUUGUUCGGAAUUACUGGGCGUAAAGGGCUCGUAGGCGGCCAACUAAGUCAUACGUGAAAUCCCUCGGCUUAACCGGGGAACUGCGUCUGAUACUGGAUGGCUUGAGUGUGGGAGAGGGAUGCGGAAUUCCAGGUGUAGCGGUGAAAUGCGUAGAUAUCUGGAGGAACACCGGUGGCGAAGGCGGCAUCCUGGACCAUUACUGACACUGAAUAGCGAAAGCCAGGGGAGCAAACGGG